GAGAUUACAUAUGCAUAUAGUGUUAAUUCUAUAAGAAUAAACCUUUUUAGAAAUUUGCUUAUAGGGAGGAAUUUGAAGGAGACACGGAACACAGAACCGUAGCGUACACUUAGUACGUGAGGAUUUGAGUACCGGAUCGACGUACAAAUUACCCCUAGAAGUAGGGUUUUCGAAUAGGUCUAAUGUAGUAUCAACUCACAAAGUUAUCAGGUUUAUAUACAGCUUUAUCAACUAAUAAAGAUGUUGUUGCAUGACUAAUGUCAUAUCAUGG
rnacentral:misc_RNA from 1 species